UGAGGCCUUCGGACUGGCGCAGGAGGGUUGGCAACGACCCCCCAGCGCCGGAAAGUUGGUCAAACUCGGUCAUUUAGAGGAAGUAAAAGUCGUAACAAGGUUUCCGUAGGUGAACCUGCGGAAGGAUCAUUACCGAGUGAGGGCCCUCUGGGUCCAACCUCCCACCCGUGUUGCACGAACCUGUGUUGCUUCGGCGGGCCCGCCGCCAGGCCGCCGGGGGGCAUCCGCCCCCGGGCCCGCGCCCGCCGAAGCCCCCCUCUGAACGCUGUCUGAAGUUGCAGUCUGAGACAACUAGCUAAAUUAGUUAAAACUUUCAACAACGGAUCUCUUGGUUCCGGCAUCGAUGAAGAACGCAGCGAAAUGCGAUAACUAAUGUGAAUUGCAGAAUUCAGUGAAUCAUCGAGUCUUUGAACGCACAUUGCGCCCUCUGGUAUUCCGGAGGGCAUGCCUGUCCGAGCGUCAUUGCUGCCCUCAAGCACGGCUUGUGUGUUGGGCCCCGUCCCCCCCGCUCCGGGGGGGACGGGCCCGAAAGGCAGCGGCGGCACCGCGUCCGGUCCUCGAGCGUAUGGGGCUUCGUCACCCGCUCUUGUAGGCCCGGCCGGCGCCAGCCGACCCCCAACCUUUUAUUAUUUCUCAGGUUGACCUCGGAUCAGGUAGGGAUACCCGCUGAACUUAAGCAUAUCAAUAAGCGGAGGAAAAGAAACCAACCGGGAUUGCCCUAGUAACGGCGAGUGAAGCGGCAAGAGCUCAAAUUUGAAAGCUGGCUCCUUCGGGGUCCGCAUUGUAAUUUGCAGAGGAUGCUUCGGAAUCGGCCCCCAUCUAAGUGCCCUGGAACGGGCCGUCAUAGAGGGUGAGA
rnacentral:rRNA from 1 species